GGUGAGCCUCACCACUUUGUGAACAAACUGCGUGAGCAAAUAGUCCAACAGUUUAACAACAAUUUAAGGAUUUCAUCAUCUACGGUCCAUAAUAUAAUCAAAGGAUUCAGAGAAUGUGGAGACAUCUCCAGAGGCAUCGAAGCCUCUGAUGUUCGAGUCCAUCAUUUCUGUUCUUUCUUCUCUCCUUCAACUCCUUACAGUAAACACCUGCACACGCGCUGAAUCGAAAAACAUGAUGAAUAGCUUCGGUGAAAGCCUUCUGUCACCAAUGAAGAGAUCCCUCUCACAUGCACAAAUAGUGAAGAAAAAGGAGGCGGGAAACGCACGAGCAUGUGGCUGACAUUAUCAUCUACUGUAUCAUUGGAGUGCAAUGAAAGCUCUGCCAAGGCCUCAACGCUGUGUGCUAUAGAUGUGUGGAUGGUCAGUUUUUUACAGUGACUAAGUCUAAAUUCUGCUCUCCUUUUUGUUGUUGUUUUUUAGUUACUUGCUUGCUGUAUAUCUUGGACUAAUACCUAUUAUUAAUAGCUGACCAGCAGUGGCUGGGGGAUAAACCGGAAUAUCAUGCAAGCACACUCAAAAGUUCCAAGCAGAUAUUCAAUCCCACGACUUUCCUGCUGUGAGGCAGACAUGCUAACCACCAGGAGAAACAUAUUCGAUGCAAUCUGGAACAAAAGUAUGUCUUUGGCAAGUAACUGCUUACAGUAAACACACUACACACACGCUGAAUCGAACCCCUGCUGAACAGAAUAUCCCUCAAACAAAUUGCCCAAAAGAAACUACUGCCAGAGACGGACGGUGCUUUGAGCUGGACAAACAGGUGGGAACUUCCCUGCAGUGAGCAGAAGCCAGCUCGUGUAAAGAACAAAAGGUAUUUUGGCCGAAUCACAAUGCAAUACAGUACAAUACAAUAUAGACCCACGGCUUUUAUUAUGGCACUCAGCUCCCAGAUUGGUCUCUAAUUUGAUAUACAGUACAGCUGCUAUUAUUACACUCACAGCUCUCAAAAAUGUAGAAGUGAGAAGUAUAACAUCAAAGCAAAACACUUUUACACACAGAAUUGCAAAUCAAUUCAAACAACGUUUGUCAUGUCAUUUCUUCUCUUCGCUUCCAUCAGCUGUUCGUCAAGGGUUUAAAUUUGAGAUUUGAUUCGUAACAGCUUUGAUCUUGAGGUUAAUUGGCUUGAAUACACACUAUAGGGCUCG